CGGGUGUAUUCGCGUAUCAAAAUAAAAAGUUCGUCGCAAGUCAACUUUUUGGCGUACUACGGAAGUACUAACCAAUCAACAUUCACGAAAUUUUGAAAUUUAAAAACAAUUUUGAUACGUUUCGGUACGGUACGCUUGAAGCGGAAAACCGGCUUUAGUUUGACGUCCGCAAAAAAAAAAUUGGCAGACAAUUUUUUUGAAAGUGAUAAUUAUAUAAGUUUUUGUGAUACUUAUUUUAUGAUAUUAGACAUGAUCUAUAUAGAUCAGACUGCAGGGGAAGUAAUGAGUUAGUUCUCUUUAGUUUGGAAGGGGAAGUUAGUUUUUAGUUUGGAAGGUGAAGUUAGUUUUGAAGGGGAGGUUAGUUUGGAAGGUGUAUAGUGUUGUGGACACACCCCUCUCAUGAUUGACAUAUUAUGAAACAGUAGGAGACAAUGAGAUUGUUUUUGCAUGCAUUGUAGAUGGUGGGAAAUAGCAAGAAAUAUACUUAUGUUUAAUUAAAUUCAACCGACAACGGCGACGAGAAUAAAGCUUUAAAACAACAUUACGGAAUGUCAAAAUUACUUUAGAAGCUUAUUUAUAGAGAAAAUAAAGAUAAAGAUGUUAAAAAAAAAAUCGGACUUGAUUUUGUUGAUAUUGGACAAGUUAAAGUUGCGUUUAAAAGAAAGGAGGGAUGUAGUGUUGUUGACACACCCCUCUCACGAUUGACAUAUUAUGAAACAGGGGAAGUUAGCAGGGGAAGUUAGUUUUCUUUAGUUUCAUCACUGAU